rnacentral:rRNA from 1 species
UACGUAGGGACCAAGCGUUGUUCGGAUUUACUGGGCGUAAAGGGCGCGUAGGCGGCAAUUCAAGUCACUUGUGAAAUCUCUGAGCUUAACUCAGAACGGUCAAGUGAUACUGCUUUGCUAGAGUGCAGAAGGGGCAACCGGAAUUCUUGGUGUAGCGGUGAAAUGCGUAGAUAUCAAGAGGAACACCGGAGGUGAAGACGGGUUGCUGGGCUGACACUGACGCUGAGGCGCGAAAGCUAGGGGAGCAAACGGG